AGCUGGAUAGUUACGAUUUUGCUCACCAGUUUUGUUACACCACUAAUGUUGGGUUGAGGUUGUGAGGGGCUGUAAGCUAGAAUGAGAGUGUGAACAAAGGGAUGAUGGGAAACGAGCACAAUCAUUCUCCCAACCAACAGUCCCGCCCACAACUCAGAGGUGAAUUUCUGAUAAACUCUUGCCGUUCUGCAUAGAGUAAGUCCCAGAAAAUGACGCAGCUUUUUUUAUUUAUGCCUAAAAACAGCAUCAUCAUAAUUAGAAGAUCAUUGGGAACAAUUUUAAAAUAGAUCUAAGGAUGAUUGAAGUGGGACUUUAAACCAGGGUUGUUGCUAAUGACACUAAAUUAACUCACCCUCUUUGAAAUACCAGAACUCUAUGACCGUUUAUGUAAUUAACUGAAUUCCAGUGGAUUCUGACUCAGAGAAAAGUGACAGCAUCCCUUGAAAUGACAUUUAUAGUCCUGUUUUUAGAUAAUAGUUACAAAAGUGCAUAUGACCGUGGGUCAAUGUAGGUAAAAGUCACAUGCACAGUUUUGCAUGCAUCUGUGUCUUUCAGUCUGCAGAACAAAACAUCUGACAAAGGUUCUUCAAAAAGGUCAGGAAAUUGACGGAAAAUGGAAAGCAGAGUUCCCAGAAUGCACCACCAUAAACAGAAAGAUCACAGAAACUCGUGAGUGACUGUUUGUUUUGUUGCUAACCCUGCUUCAGUACAUAUUGUUCACCUGGAUUAGGUGUGAAACUGGGAUGAUUCAAUCCAGGAAAUCAGCAUUUUGUGAAGCAGGGUUAUCUGAAAAACAAGCAGGGCAGAAGGUCAGGAGGAGCAGAGUUGAAGACGCCUGUGUCAGACUCUUUGCCUUUCUAUGGUUUUAUUAGGGAAGUGUGCAGCUUUUGUUUAAUGCUUCUGGUACCCACAGGUGCUGCCCAUCUGCUGCCAGGGGACCACUCCCAGAAUCAGCAUAGAUGGAGUCUAGGUGAUGAAAAAACUUCAGAACCACUACUGGUAAUAAUUUGGGGCCAUCUCCAAUCUGGAGUCCAGACCCAGACUCCACUCAACAGCUGACUACUGAGACAACAGCCUCAAUGAUGACCUGAGAAGAAUGGGAGGAUCCCACAGCUGAGCAUGACUACAACUGCCCAGAGGAACCCCGUCCCACCAGGUUUAUGUGAUGCACCAGUGACGGUGGUACCCUGCAUGCCAGGGGGCCCAAACUCCUGCCUGCUCAGGUAGAUGGUGUGGUCGUGCUGCUCGGCAUGGCUCUGCUCCCGGUGCUGGAGACUGGAAUCACACAAACGGAGGAUGACAGCUCAAACAUCCGUCCGGCUCUGGAUCUGCAGAGGGGAAUCCUUUAGGGAAACCAUGGGGCGGCGAGGGAGGGGGUCACGCGUGUCAGCUGAACUUUUGACUCUGUGAACUGACGAUGUAAGCUUGAGCUGAGACUUCCGCUGGGAGGGAGGGUGUUUUGAAUGGUUGUAUUUCUGGAUCUUCCUGUCUGGAAGUGUUUUAUGGAGAAAGAAUCUCUGAACUGUGGAGAGUUCGGAAAACUGUGAGAGUUCCUGGACUGGAGAUGUCUCUCUGUGAGUAAAAAAAAAAUAAAAAA